CAGCAGCCACGGUAAAACGAAGGGUGCAAGCGUUACUCGGAAUUACUGGGCGUAAAGCGUGCGUAGGUGGUGGUUUAAGUCCGUUGUGAAAGCCCUGGGCUCAACCUGGGAAUUGCAGUGGAUACUGGGUCACUAGAGUGUGGUAGAGGAUAGUGGAAUUUCCGGUGUAGCAGUGAAAUGCGUAGAGAUCGGAAGGAACAUCUGUGGCGAAGGCGACUAUCUGGGCCAACACUGACACUGAGGCACGAAAGCGUGGGGAGCAAACAGGAUUAGAUACCCCUGUAGUCCCUGUCUCUUAUAC
rnacentral:rRNA from 1 species